rnacentral:rRNA from 1 species
UGGUGGUGUGAAUUGUCUGCUUAAUUGCGACAACGAACGAGACCUUCGCCAGCUUAUUAGGGAUGUCUUCUUCGGAUCUCAACCCUUCUCAGCGGGACUUUGUGCGUCACAGCACAAUGAAGCGAAGGCAAUAACA